rnacentral:tRNA from 1 species
GGCCGCGUAGCUCAAUUUGCAUAGAGCAAGGGACUCCUAAGCCCUAGGUUGCCGGUUGGAUUCCGGCCGCGGUCACCA